AAUGGUUGAAAAACCGAAAAAGAUGUUAUUUUUAAUCUAAUUUUAAUUUAAUGGCUUUUAGGCAUUAUAUUCUGUGAUACUAAUAAUUAAUACGUUAUUUCUUUAUAUUCUACAUUCGAAUUACAUAUUAAACUUUUAUCAUAUUAAUUAUAAAUAAAAGUUACAAAAACUUUUUGAUUUUCAAAACUGUUGACGUUUUCGUUAUGCUUUUGUAUACUUUGUAUAUUUAACAUUACUUAUAUAGUAAAAAUUUCUAACAUAUAUAAUAUUUGCACAUAAUAUUGUAUUUACAAAUAGAUAAUGCAAUGAUAAGUUUUUUAAAUACUCGUUAUUAAACUAUUUAGCAGUUUAAUUAAAUGCCAACAAAAAUACAGAGCCUUUUUUUUAAAGACAUUCGAUUCAGUUGUCUAAGACAGUUGUGAGUUGUAUUAAAACAAGGUUUUUACUUAAUAUGCAUAAUAUAUUAAGUAUAUAUUUAAGACAAUUAAGUUAUAAUAAGACAAUUUCUUAAUCAUAAUAUGUAUUUUAUUUAUUUGAAUGGAAAGUAUUUUAGUUUGUUGUGGAACUAGACUAGAAAUUACCUAAUAUUAUUAGGUAAUUACCUAAUAUUAUUAGGUAGGUUAUACCAAUAUACAAAUUCGUAAAAGAAACACAUUACACAAGUUAUAAGAAGCUUAUUAGUAAUAAGCUUCUUAUAACUUGUGUAAUGUGUUUCUUUUACGAAUUUGUAUAUUGGUAUAAUCAUAUCAUGCUAUUCCUACAAUAUUAUAACUAACACUGACUCUCAUAAGUUUGAGUCUCAAGUCACGAAAAAGGCCAACUCUCACGUGUUGGCGGAAAGUUAGCAAAAUAUGUUAAGGACUUAAUUCAGAGAUAAUGUUGCUAAACGAUUUACAGUCGAUAAUCUUUCGAAAGCAGAAAAACUCAGUGUCAAACAAAGAAUACGCGAAUUGUUUGAGAUAUGAUUAAAAUUUGCAAAGAAAGUAAAAAUCAAACUAGUUUCAUUCUUAGUUAUUGUAUAUAAUUUUAAA